rnacentral:piRNA from 1 species
UACUGUUCUGCCAUGGGUGUACUGGAAUGU